CUUUCAAUCCUCUUCUUGAGAUUC
rnacentral:other from 24 species